rnacentral:rRNA from 1 species
GAUGAACGCUGGCGGCGUGCCUAAUACAUGCAAGUCGAGCGAAUGGAUUGAGAGCUUGCUCUCAAGAAGUUAGCGGCGGACGGGUGAGUAACACGUGGGUAACCUGCCCAUAAGACCGGGAUAACUCCGGGAAACCGGGGCUAAUACCGGAUAACAUUUUGAACUGCAUGGUUCGAAAUUGAAAGGCGGCUUCGGCUGUCACUUAUGGAUGGACCCGCGUCGCAUUAGCUAGUUGGUGAGGUAACGGCUCACCAAGGCAACGAUGCGUAGCCGACCUGAGAGGGUGAUCGGCCACACUGGGAUUGAGACACGGCCCAGACUCCUACGGGAGGCAGCAGUAGGGAAUCUUCCGCAAUGGACGAAAGUCUGACGGAGCAACGCCGCGUGAGUGAUGAAGGCUUUCGGGUCGUAAAACUCUGUUGUUAGGGAAGAACAAGUGCUAGUUGAAUAAGCUGGCACCUUGACGGUACCUAACCAGAAAGCCACGGCUAACUACGUGCCAGCAGCCGCGGUAAUACGUAGGUGGCAAGCGUUAUCCGGAAUUAUUGGGCGUAAAGCGCGCGCAGGUGGUUUCUUAAGUCUGAUGUGAAAGCCCACGGCUCAACCGUGGAGGGUCAUUGGAAACUGGGAGACUUGAGUGCAGAAGAGGAAAGUGGAAUUCCCUGUGUAGCGGUGAAUGCGUAGAGAUAUGGAGGAACACCAGUGGGCGAAGGGGACUUUCUGGUCUGUAACUGACACUGAGGCGC